AAUGGCUGAGGUUAAAGCGAUAAAUUGUAAAUUUAUUUACGAGAAAUUCUCUUUUAU
rnacentral:tRNA from 1 species